UGCAGUCGAGGGGCAGCAUAAUGGAUAGCAAUAUCUAUGGUGGCGACCGGCGCACGGGUGCGUAACGCGUAUGCAACCUACCUUUAACAGGGGGAUAACACUGAGAAAUUGGUACUAAUACCCCAUAAUAUCAUAGAAGGCAUCUUUUAUGGUUGAAAAUUCCGAUGGUUAGAGAUGGGCAUGCGUUGUAUUAGCUAGUUGGUGGGGUAACGGCUCACCAAGGCGACGAUACAUAGGGGGACUGAGAGGUUAACCCCCCACACUGGUACUGAGACACGGACCAGACUCCUACGGGAGGCAGCAGUGAGGAAUAUUGGUCAAUGGACGCAAGUCUGAACCAGCCAUGCCGCGUGCAGGAUGACGGCUCUAUGAGUUGUAAACUGCUUUUGUACGAGGGUAAACGCAGAUACGUGUAUCUGUCUGAAAGUAUCGUACGAAUAAGGAUCGGCUAACUCCGUGCCAGCAGCCGCGGUAAUACGGAGGAUUCAAGCGUUAUCCGGAUUUAUUGGGUUUAAAGGGUGCGUAGGCGGUUUGAUAAGUUAGAGGUGAAAUUUCGGGGCUCAACCCUGAACGUGCCUCUAAUACUGUUGAGCUAGAGAGUAGUUGCGGUAGGCGGAAUGUAUGGUGUAGCGGUGAAAUGCUUGGAGAUCAUACAGAACACCGAUUGCGAA
rnacentral:rRNA from 1 species